UACGGGGGGAGCAAGCGUUGUUCGGAUUUACUGGGCGUAAAGAGCGUGUAGGCGGCCAGGUAGGUCUGCUGUGAAAACUCGAGGCUUAACCUCGAGAUGUCGGCGGAAACCAUCUGGCUAGAGUCCGGAAGAGGAGAGUGGAAUUCCUGGUGUAGCGGUGAAAUGCGCAGAUAUCAGGAAGAACACCCGUGGCGAAGGCGGCUCUCUGGGACGGUACUGACGCUGAGACGCGAAAGCGUGGGGAGCGAACAGG
rnacentral:rRNA from 1 species